GGAUGGGCAUGCGGCGCAUUAGCUAGUCGGCGGGGUAACGGCCCACCGAGGCGACGAUGCGUAGGGGUUCUGAGAGGAAGGUCCCCCACACUGGUACUGAGACACGGACCAGACUCCUACGGGAGGCAGCAGUGAGGAAUAUUGGUCAAUGGGCGCGAGCCUGAACCAGCCAAGUCGCGUGAGGGAUGACGGUCCUACGGAUUGUAAACCUCUUUUGCCGGGGAGCAAGCGUGCGUUCGUGAACGCGCGUCGAGAGUACCCGGAGAAAAAGCAUCGGCUAACUCCGUGCCAGCAGCCGCGGUAAUACGGAGGAUGCGAGCGUUAUCCGGAUUUAUUGGGUUUAAAGGGUGCGUAGGCGGGAUGCCAAGUCAGCGGUAAAAAUGCGGUGCUCAACGCCGUCGAGCCGUUGAAACUGGCGUUCUUGAGUGGGCGAGAAGUAUGCGGAAUGCGUGGUGUAGCGGUGAAAUGCAUAGAUAUCACGCAGAACUCCGAUUGCGAAGGCAGCAUACCGGCGCCCUACUGACGCUGAGGCACGAAAGCGUGGGUAUCGAACAGGAUUAGAUACCCUGGUAGUCCACGCAGU
rnacentral:rRNA from 1 species